AAGAUUGAUAUAAACUCUUUCGAGAAUUUGAGCUCAGUUCACCACGGUCCAUGAUUUUAAGGCUUGUUUUUGUACUAGGACACCAAAAUAUUGGCUGUUUGACAGCGAUUGGAGCAUACAGCUGACUGCAUGGAUUAUAUAAGAAGGAAAACAUCAAGAAGACCUAAACCUGAUGUGAACAGAAGUCCUUUCACUCAAAACAAAGCAUGAUACUGGAACCUCUAGUUACUGGGCAGUAACCCCUCAGGCUGAAAAUGAAGAUUUCUUCCUGGAAAUGUGACAGAAACCUAAUUCAUUCUCAGUUUGAGAUUUGUCUCCCAUGUGGGUUAACUCCAUUAAGCAACACUUGCUCAUCCCCUCCACCCCCUACUCCACCACUGGGGCAGGGGAAGGGGAAAGGAAAAGUUAAAGCAAAAUAAAAUCAUGGAUUAAGAUAGAAAUCGUUUAAUAACUGAAGGAGAAAUGGAAGAAGAGAGAAAGAAUACAAUGGAAAGCAAGUAUAGCAAAGGCAAUUGCUCACAACCUCUGAAGAUCAAACUGAUGCCCAGCCAAAUUCUGAGAAAUCUGAUUCACCUCAAACCUCUCCACUCUGUUUUACCACUGAGUAUGGCAUUCUAUGGCAUGGAAUAUGCCCCUGGAUAGAUCAUCAGCCUGGCUGUGAGCCUCUUAGCCUCUUGCACACCCCCAGAGAGUGUUCAUUGCAAGGGUAGAGGGAGAAACAAAGAAGGCCCUGAUGCUGUGUGAGACCUGCUCAGCAAUAAAUAAAAAAGUGGUGUGUUAAAUACUGUCUUUGCCAUGAACCUAAAGCACAUCACCGUGGAGAUGCUAUGAAGCUUUGCCUAUCCAGAUACAGUACAUCUCCCAUCGUGCAACUUCUCAAGGCAUUUUGUACCUCUGUGCCCAGCAGCAUCAAAGGUUUAUUCAAGAACAACGUUUGCAAAUUAACUUUUUGGAAACAGACCAUAAAGCAUCAUCCCAAAGCUCAGUUCUGUUGCUGACAGAAAAGAAUACUUGUCUACACAGUCCAUCAAUUCUUUCCAAGGUUAAUAGACUCUGAUGAAAAAAAAUAUAAAGAUUUUACUUAAAAUAUUUAAAACACAUCUUUUGAUCAAUGCCAGCUGUUUUGGUGCAACUAUACUCUCUGUUUUGAUCAUCUAUAUAGGUUGAUCUGAAAGUAAUGCCUCCUGUUUUCCAUGGAAACCACAAUAGAUACAAAGAGCAGAACAACACUAUUUGAUUGAGCAAAUUCACAAAUACAAGACAGUAUUUUUCAACACAGUUACCAGCAUUAGCUGAUUAAUGCAGAUGAGCUGAUUGAGAUGCUUUUCCCUUCAGGAUGUGACAGUUGUACAAGCCCUUCCAGAACAUGGCUUGUCUUUCACAUCCACAUCACUGUGCUCACAUCCACUGGUCUCCACAAACAUUCAGAAAACAUCAAUUAAUGUCAUGGGUGUCAUUUGUUCUGCAUGGAGGAAUUCAGUGGCACACUUUUGUUUCAUACACACAUCCACGUCAGACAGCAUUUUGUCAGACUGCCCCUCUGCUGUCAUGUGUCACACAGCAACAAAAUCUAAUGGAAUAUUGAUGGGAAGGUUCAGCCUCUACUGUUGUACCAUCAACAUCCACCUCUGAUGUCAUGGGCUAACAUAAUAAAAUAGUAGGCACUGCAUUCAGAGCAGCCCUUGUAUCUGCUGCAGUUCUGUGCAUAAAGGAGAUUAUCUUCCCACCAAGCUCAUUAAAUAAAAAAACAUAAAUUUCAUUAGUGCUAAAUAUUAAGAAAGAAUGUUUACCAACUAGAAAACAGACUCUAAUUUCAAAGCCACAAAUGUUGGCAUACUUCUACUCUUUCUUCUUCUAUAUUGAUCUACAUUCAUUAUCAUUUAAUUCCUUCAGCCGUGUUGAUGUUGUAAUUGUUCUGAGUAGAAUUUUGUGGAUAAUUGUUUCACUCUGUGCCACAAUUCCUUCUCAUGUCCACGAAAUACCAGUCCUGAAAGUCCAUGCAAAAACUAAAAAUAAUGGGACCCUAUUUGUUCAACUGGUAUCUUUUAGCAGCACUAACACCCAGUCCUGCAAGAACAGUAUCUCAAAUUUGAGGACAUUCUGCUAGCUGCUCCUGAGGUCCAGGACUACAAACUCUAAAUUCUCCAGAGCGCAGUCUAUAGCAGUUGUUAGGAAGGCUGCAUGGAGAAGGGGACAUGAAACAUGACAAGGCUCAAGAUAUACCAAAUCAUCAGGCAUUCAUUAGAGUUUUCCUGAGGGAAAAGUAUAUAUCCCCCUUUCAGCAGAAAUCAAGAAUAUUCCUUGAUAUUUGAAGACAAUUCAUUCAAACAAAAAACAUAAGACAAAACAUUAAAUUUUCCAUUAAUC
ensembl:lncRNA